UCCCUGAGAAGCAUCUUACCAAAGACUGAAGUAAAGAAAGGCAGGAUGUUACCUGACUGAAGAUGCUGUCACUAGAAAACCACUGAUACCAAGGGAUCUGGCCGCUCGUGGACUGACAGGAGUCUUUCUUUUCAGAUAUCCUGCUACCAUUCAACAUGAGACCGCGUGUGAGGGAGGGAAAACGACAGUGGUCAUGCCCAAUUGCGGUGAAAAUAUCUUAGACACACAAGGAACCUUGAAAGCGAGAUGCUCACCUCUUCUGGGCUUUGGAAAGUGGCCCAGCCAAGCUGCCUCUCAAAUAAAACCUUUACCUCAUGCUAAGCAUUCCAAGCUGGAAGAAGGCAUCUGUUCUUGCCUACGGAGAGCCUGCCUGGGAGGUGGCUGGCUUGUCACGGAAAAAAAAAAGGGAGAACUCCUGGGAGAUUGAUUUGGACACUUGAUCAAAAUGAACAUUAUAAUAAAAAAAAAAAAACUCAUAUUGAAUAGGUCAUCUGAACGUGUUUUCUCUUAGAGGUAGGUUUAAGCAAGAACAGAGUGUGGUUUCUGUGACGUCACUACGUGAUGCCGCUUUGUCUGAAGGCCAGACGCUAAAUGAGGUGUGCGCGCACGGACACACGGAGACCAUCUGCGCUCAGUGAUGAGCACGUGAGGGGAUCCCGCGCGCCCUCCCUGGUCGUGCAGCUCCAAACACAGACAAGGCAAGCCCGGAGCUGCACGGCUUGGCCUGGAAUAGAAAUUCUCCUGCAGACUCCUGCAACUUCUCUUCUGGUAAUGGCUUAAGACUUAGGGUGAAGACAGGAAGGAAGGCUCUUCAGAAAUGAAAGGACUACGUCGAUCUUCUAAUUUGGGAUAACUUUGCAAACUAGGUCACUUACUUCAAUUCAACAGUUCAAGCCUCAGAGAGUUUUGCUUAACUGUGUGCUAUAUUCUUAAGAGACAUGAAUGCAAUAAAGAUUAGU